rnacentral:rRNA from 1 species
AGAGUUUGAUCAUGGCUCAGGAUGAACGCUGGCGGCGUGCCUAAUACAUGCAAGUCGAGCGCAACUUCUUAUACCGAACCUUCGGGUUCACUUUAAGAGUUGAGCGGCGGACGGGUGAGUAACACGUAGGCAACCUACCCUUAAGACUGGGAUAACUACGGGAAACCGUAGCUAAUACCGGAUAAUACCUUUACUCAAAAGAGUAGAGGUUGAAAGAUGGAUUUUCUAUCACUUAAGGAUGGGCCUGUGGCGCAUUAGCUAGUUGGUGAGGUAGUAGCUCACCAAGGCGACGAUGCGUAGCCGACCUGAGAGGGUGAUCGGCCACACUGGGACUGAGACACGGCCCAGACUCCUACGGGAGGCAGCAGUAGGGAAUCUUCCGCAAUGGACGCAAGUCUGACGGAGCAACGCCGCGUGUGUGAUGAAGGAUUUCGGUUCGUAAAGCACUGUUGUUAAGGAAGAAUAGUAGUAAGAGUAACUGUUUACUAAUUGACGGUACUUAACCAGAAAGCCACGGCUAACUACGUGCCAGCAGCCGCGGUAAUACGUAGGUGGCAAGCGUUAUCCGGAAUUAUUGGGCGUAGAGCGCGCGUAGGCGGCAAGAUUAGUCUGAUGUGAAAGCCCCCGGCUCA